rnacentral:lncRNA from 10 species
UGAGUUUCCUCUACAGGGUUCUUGUUAAGAGGUGGCCCAACCCAUGCUUGGCCACGUUGAGAAAAAGGAAACGCAUCCUCCCAAAGGAAGGCCCGUUCCACUGCUGGAGAAUUCAGGCUACUGAAAGCUUCUUGCUUAUGUGAUUUUGCCCAAUUCCGUUUCCGAGUCUGUCCCUUUUGUUCUAGUCCCUUCUUUUAGAGGAACAUGGAGCAAUAACAAUGACUCUUACCGAGGCCAAUUCUCUAUUAGGCUCCAGGCAGCCAAGGUGACAAAGGAUGUGUAUCCUCAUCCUUCAGAAGGUGAUAGUUGAGAGGAGCGUGGGAGAAAACCAUAAGCCCCCCAAGGUUAGGGUCACAUCUAUUCAUCUGUAUUUUGGUGACUAGCAGAGCACCUGGCAAAAAGUAGACUCUUCAGAUAGUUUUGAGAGGCCCGGGAAACACAAGAACUACAUUACCCUUCUCUAGUUACUCUUCUAUCCUGUUGUCAAACUUGGCCUCACCAGUGAAAACCUGCCUCACCUUGGUGGCUACUCCAGCUAAGCUCCUGCUUCCUGCCCUCACAGCUGGCUUACAGCAUCAAGCCCCAUGGGAUGAGUGCUCCAUCCUGACUGCCAUGUCUGCACUGUGUCUGCACAGUGUCUGUGAGGCCCCAUCUGUCAUGACCCGAUGCUGGCCAGCCUGGCCUGGGCAGAGCUCCGAGGAGCAUGUGAGUGCUUGAACACAUGCACAAUGCAACCCCCACCAUGGAGUCUAUGCUUCUUGGAUGCUCACUCCACGAGGUGAGGGGCAUGGGAUAGUUGUCUCUGCUCUGUGUGAACUCAGUCUGGCCUGGUAGAUAACACAGACAUGCAAGGCAACUGUGGUAAGUGACAGAGAAGCUGCCAGUUGGCCCUGUAGUUGAGAGGAAGAGUAAUGUGCAGUGUCAGCGUGCUGUCCAAGGAGUUCUUGGCAUGGCUGGAGGCACUUCACACCUGAAGAUGGCUGGUCAGACCACUGGAACAUCCCUCGUUAGGCACCAUGUGUCAGAAGCCUCAUUAGUGUAUCAAGGAAUGCUCAGGCUUCCUGGAGGAUUCAUCCAUUCACAGUUGCUAAAAGGAAGCCUACCGUGUGCUAGAUGGGGCUGCCCCAGUGCCCUGGGCCAGGUCCCUGCUGUUCAAUUG